UUUUUUUUUUGGUUAGUAAGUGUGAUGAUUGGUUAUGCACACAUUGUGGGACAUGUUCCUCCCACAGACCUUGUCACAAUAUUACAAUUACGUGUGAGAAA